GUCUGCGUGAGCAUCAACACGUGCGAUAAACUUCGUACGCUUUCAUCUGAUGCUUUCUUGCGGACAAGUGUUGUUCUUUGGCAGGCAUGAUUUAUCGCUUAUAGCUGGAGCGUGAGACGCGCUGGUCGCGUCGGCGUCUACUCUAUAUAGUUUGAUGAAACGUUCCGCCAGCAAUAACAAACGAUAAAGUUGCCAGAAACUUACUGUGUACCUGAACGAUGAUGGCAGGGGUGAUAGCCGCACGUGCUUCCAGUUUAUCCGGCUGCUACUUCGCUGGAAGGCCACACCUUGCCGACAUGGGUGAAGUCGCUGCGGUACCGGCCACUCCUGUAAAUGCCGCGCUGUUUUGUCGACGGCGUGCUCGACGACGACGAUAAAUGGUACAAUGUUCGUCAAAAGUAAAUGGGCUACUCUGUGCCUUCACUGUAUACGUCACUCAGCUCUCUGCUGCGGCUCCCAUGGCGCUCCUGGCACCCCAGAUGUCUGGAUGCAUUAUGCCGGCACCAUGAACUUGCACCAGCCGAGCACAAGCUGUGGUCCAGGUAUUCAGCCGUGGAUGUGACGUGGCGGUAAGUGGCCAUCACAACUCUUUGCAUACCUCCCACGUCCUCUUCAUGAGACUUCAGUGCCCGGCCAUAGUAUGUGCUCAGCCUUGUUAUCAGCUCUUCCACCUGUCUAUUCCACCAAGGCCCCGCUUAUUCCCACACCUGUGCUUCUGCACCAGGUUUCGCAAGGGCGUCCUCAUACAUUUUUUCUCUUUCUUCACUUCAAUGUAGCCAUAGACUUGCUUCUUGGAUGGCAGAAAAAGUUUUUCUGUCGCUGUCACACAACAUAGUUGUGUAGUGUAUGCCCUGGCAUUCGUAUAAUCUCUGAAACAGGAUCAGAGCCGCCUCCACUUCCAUUUGGCCAGAUUUGCUUUCAGUGUUUUUCUGGCAUUUCCCUUUAUGGCUUGCACUCCAUUCUUCGUAGCCGUCGGUACCAGGCUUUGGGCCCACCUCGCAUCCUAAGCAAAAGUUCGAUAAAACCAUGUAAUCGAUGACAUACCCACUGAAUAGUUCUAUCACUGUGCCAACGCCGAUGUGGGAACAGUGGCCUCAUGUCAUCCACGUGCCGUCGUAGCUAACGGCAGUAUUGCCCCUGUGGCCGAAACGUAGGUCUUCUUAAAGAUUUGGGACUUUCGUUGCACAUUCGCUCAUAGCGGCAUCCGCUGCUCGGGCGGAAGCGGGUGCCAACGUAUUCUUCAAAUGCCGUUUGUACGUCUUGUGGUGCAUGCCACAGUGAGAAAUUCCCAUUGCUGCGAAAAUGUAGUUCAUUUUCGUCUCCCGAUGCCACUGGCCAUCAUUGCUCUCGUGCCAAGAAAGUUCACUUCGAACGGGUUGCACGUUUUCUUGCUGUCUACCCGGGGCGAAGUCCAGGUAUUCGCGAUCUCGCCACAUGUUUCGCAUUUCACUGACAGCUUG